rnacentral:rRNA from 1 species
AUUGAACGCUAGCGGGAUGCUUUACACAUGCAAGUCGAACGAGUGGCGGACGGGUGAGUAAUAUAUCGGAACGUGCCCAGUAGCGGGGGAUAACUACUCGAAAGAGUGGCUAAUACCGCAUACUAUUGGAGCGGCCGAUAUUGGAUUAGCUAGUUGGUGGGGUAAAGGCGCACCAAGGCCACGAUCCGUAGCUGGUUUGAGAGGACGACAGGCCACAAUGGAACUGAGACACGGCCCAGACUCCUACGGGAGGCAGCAGUGGGGAAUUUUAGACAAUGGGGGAAAGCCUGAACCAGCCAUCCCGCGUGUAUGAGAAGGCCUUCGGGUUGUAAAGUACUUUUGGCAGAGAAGCGGUAUCUGAAGAAUAAGCACCGGCUAACUACGUGCCAGCAGCCGCGGUAAUUC